UGCCGAAACCCGGUUCAAACCAGGGACCUUUAGAUCUUCAGUCUAACGCUCUCCCAACUGAGCUAUUUCGGC
rnacentral:tRNA from 13 species